rnacentral:rRNA from 1 species
GGUUGAUCCUGCCAGUAGUCAUAUGCUUGUCCUAAAGAUUAAGCCAUGCAUGUCCAAGUAUAUACCAAAUAUUAUACGGUGAAACUGCGAAAGGCUCAUUAUAUCAGUUAUAAUUUACAUGAUGAUGGAAUUUACUAGAUGGAUAACCGUGGUAAUUCUAGAGCUAAUACAUGCAAAAAGUCCGACUUUGAGGAAGGAUAGUAUUUAUUAGAUAAAAAACCAGUAGGGGAGAAAUCUCUUAGUAAUGGUGAAUCAUAAUAACUUUACAGAUCGUAUAGCGCAAGCAAGACGA